rnacentral:rRNA from 1 species
CUCAGUUCGGAUCGGAGUCUGNAACCCGACUCCGUGAAGCUGGAUUCGCUAGUAAUCGCGCAUCAGCCAUGGCGCGGUGAAUACGUUCCCGGGCCUUGUACACACCGCCCGUCAAGCCAUGGGAGCCGGGGGUGCUUGAAGUGCGUCGCCGUGAGGCGCGCCCUAGAGCAAAACCGGUGACUGGGGCUAAGUCGUAACAAGGUAAC